rnacentral:rRNA from 1 species
AGCAGCCGCGGUAAUUCCAGCUCCAAUAGCGUAUAUUAAAGUUGUUGCAGUUAAAAGCUCGUAGUUGAACUUCGGGGUUCACCCAUUGGUCAGGCUUAACUGUCUGUACUGGUGAGAUGAAUCUCUACCUUCUGAGGAACUUUCAUGCCAUUUAUUUGGUGUGAUGGGAAAUCAGGACUGUUACUUUGAAAAAUUGAGUGUUUAAAGCAGGCUAACGUCUGAAUACAUUAGCAUGGAAUAAUGAAAUAGGACGGACUGGUUCUAUUUUGUUGGUUUCUAGGAUCACCGUAAUGAUUAAUAGGGAUAGUUGGGGGCAUUAGUAUUCAAUUGUCAGAGGUGAAAUUCUUGGAUUUAUUGAAGCUGACUACUG